rnacentral:rRNA from 1 species
AUUGAACGCUGGCGGCAGGCUUAACACAUGCAAGUCGAGCGAGCGGCGGACGGGUGAGUAAUGCCUGGGACACUGGCUGAUGGAGGGGGAUAACUACUGGAAACGGUAGCUAAUACCGCAUACCAUACGAUGUGCCCAGAUGGGAUUAGCUAGUAGGUGGGGUAAUGGCUCACCUAGGCGACGAUCCCUAGCUGGUCUGAGAGGAUGACCAGCCACACUGGGACUGAGACACGGCCCAGACUCCUACGGGAGGCAGCAGUGGGGAAUAUUGCACAAGGGGCGCAAGCCUGAUGCAGCCAUGCCGCGUGUGUGAAGAAGGCCUUCGGGUUGUAAAGAACUUUCAGUGAGGAGGCGUUACUCGCAGAAGAAGCACCGGCUAACUCCGUGCCAGCAGCCGCGGUAAUUC